ACUACUGUUCUCUUUUUCAUUUUCGCAUACAUGGUUUCCCUUCAAAUUUUUUUGGUUGUGCCAUGUUUAGGCUCCAGAAUAUCUACCAGAAAGAUUCUUGCCUUCGCCUAUGUUAUGAACCACUCAGUGACUGAAACCAACACCUUUGAACAACAUCCACAGGAGAAGAAAGUUGAAAAACUCCUCAAACGACCUGGCAACCUGUUUGCAUUUAGUUCUCAAGAACAGGGGAUUGUAUGUUUAAAUUUAAUUGCAAAUAUCACCAUCCAAAAAAAUCAGACUGCCGUGUCCCCCUCGUGUGCACUGAGUGCCAAGGGCCUUCCUUUGAGAACAGUAAGUUCACUCUUCUUUGAAUUGUGCUUUCUGAAGUGAAUACAUAAUUAUGGAAUAUGAUCUAACAAGUACCUGCUGUACAAUAUUUUAAGUGAUUGAAUCAUUGGAAAUUUCAAAAAUUUGCAAAUUUUUAGCGUCCUUUAGAUAAAUUGGCAAUGUACCACAAAAGUAAUCAUUACUAAUACAAAUUUGACCCUGGGAAGAGAUUGUAGUGAAAGUUGUCGAAAUGUCUCUUUUUUUAAAUUUUUUUGGUGAAGAAAACCAACAUGUCUCUUUCGACAUAAAGAUUCUUGACUAACUAUGAGAGCCUGAUUGCAUAUUACACUUAAUUAUAUCAUGCCAUUUAUCACACAAAUUUUGUACUAACUUUGUUUCAAAUACCAGUGUCAGAAUGUUUGCACACAAUACCAUAGCUAUGUCAUUCACAAUAUUCAACUUCCAUGAGCAUCUCUAUUGCAUUUUCGCAUGCAUGUUUUUCCCUUCAUUUAUUUUUUUUGGUUGUGCUAUGUUUAGGCUCCAGAAUAUCUACCAGAAAAAAGCAUGUCUGCACCUCCACCCUUUGUUAUGAAUCACUCAGUCACUGAGACCAAUUCCUAUGAACAACAUCCACAGCAGAAGUAAGUUGAAGAACUCCCAGAACGAUCUAAUUGCAAAUAUCAAUAUCCAAACAAUCACACUGCAGUGUCCUGAGUGACAAGGGCCUCCCUUUGGGACCAG
rnacentral:lncRNA from 1 species